AUGCCACUAAUGGCAGCUGAGGUGGCCCCUUCACGGCGACUAAUGGAGGUUGCGAGGCUUCAUGAUCUAUACGUACAUGCAAAACUAGGUGCGGAGCAGCCGCUGCCACUAUAUCCACCUCCACCAUACCUCCUCCAUCCACCUUCCAUCUUGCCACUCCGCCGUCCGCGCCACACGAAUGAUAGCAGUGGCGGCGAUGAGCUCGAGGUUGCUGUCUGCCCUCCGUCCACACCCUCACAAGAACGCAGACCGGGGCAACACACAGAUGUUUUCUCGGCGCGCGGUGCCAUGGCUGCACUCUCCGUUCAAGCGUCGUGGCCUUUCCCUCGGUAG
rnacentral:rRNA from 1 species